rnacentral:rRNA from 1 species
AUUGAACGCUGGCGGUAUGCAUAACACAUGCAAGUCGAACGGUAGCAGGUCUAGCUUGCUAGAUGCUGACGAGUGGCGGACGGGUGAGUAACGCGUAGGAAUCUGCCUUAUAGUGGGGGAUAACCUGGGGGAAACUCAGGCUAAUACCGCAUAAGCCCGAGGGUGAAAGUGUGGGACCUGAAAAGGCCACAUGCUAUAAGAUGAGCCUGCGUAGGAUUAGCUAGUUGGUGGGGUAAAGGCUUACCAAGGCAAAGAUCCUUAACUGGUCUGAGAGGACGACCAGUCACACUGGGACUGAGACACGGCCCAGACUCCUACGGGAGGCAGCAGUGGGGAAUUUUGGGACAAUGGGGGCAACCCUGAUCCAGCAAUGCCGCGUGAGUGAGGAAGGCC